CUCAUUUUCUGUAAAAUCACAACCUGACUUUUGUGUGAACUAGGUGAAAGGCUGUCUUAGAGGAAGGGCACCAAAUGACGUUAAAGGCGUAAAGCCCUCAGGCCUCAGAGAACCUGGACUUUCAAAGUGCCUGCUUGUCUCAUAUGGAAGUUGGAGAGGGUUGCUGCUGACUUUGCACUGGAUUAUGGGAUGGAUUUUGACCACAGCCAGGACCAUCUCUUCCUCCGUCAACUGUUCUCUCCAAGAAGGAGGACCUCUGAAGCGUGCUUUGUAUUUUUACCCAGAGCAAUUAAUGGUCUGAAAACUUGUUUAUAAAAAUGCAUUCUCUUGUUUUACUGAUUAAUGUAUAGAUUUGUUACUAUUUAGUAAUGAGUAGUUCUGGAAAAUAUAUAGAAGGAUGUGGAGCUGUGUUUUGAACUACA
rnacentral:lncRNA from 1 species